UUUCCAGACCGGAAUCUGAAGCUUGAUACGCAGACUUUUAAAGAAACGCCAAUGUGCUCAGGAGUUCAGAGAGGGAAAGUCAUCUUCUCCGUGGAAAACUAAGUUUCACUGUUUUCAAAGGAUUGUUUGGCAGUACUUUCUUAUUUGCUCUCUUGCUGCCUGGGCGGGAUGGGAGUCGCUGCUGACAUGAUGACACGCCCCCUUUUCAUUGCCAUCAUGGUUACGUCAUGGAUGUGUAUUCAGGGUCGGGACGAUUGUCUCAGUUCUGAGAUUGCAGUGAACUGCUCUUAUAUACCUGAUGGCAAAAGUGUUACCUGCACUGUUGAUUACUCAGGCGUAGAGGAACCUGAGAAAUGUCGGGUUAACGCAAG
ensembl:lncRNA